GUAAGAAGAAAGCCCAAAGACAAAACCAGAGGCAACUGGCUGCUGCAUCGCCCACCUAGUGGCAGUAGUGUGAGCUAUGGACAAAAGAUCUAAGUCUCCAGGACAAAGAGUUGUGCAGCUGCUCAUUUUCCUGUUGACUUCUGUCUAAGACUUGGAGAUGUUUGUAAGAUUGGGACCUACCUACAGAGCUCCAGAGGGAAGUGAGAAGGAUGUUCACUUGCUGGUGAGAGAAGGAGCUGGUUCCAUCCAUUACGCAGUCCCCUGGGAGCGCUAAAUGCAACUUUAUCUCAACGGGGAGUGGACGAUGAGCAGGACGUCGCUAGAGGGAAAGAGCCUCACUUCCCGUUUCCUUUGGCAGCGCCCUUUUCCCGACCUAAGGGAGCAGACCUUCGUUGGUUGGCGUGAGGACUGGCGGGAGAGGUUUUGUGCCAGGAUCCGCACUGUCUGGGGUGAACGC
rnacentral:lncRNA from 1 species